AGACCCGAAACCCGGUGAUCUAGCCAUGGGCAGGUUGAAGGUUGGGUAACACUAACUGGAGGACCGAACCGACUAAUGUUGAAAAAUUAGCGGAUGACUUGUGGCUGGGGGUGAAAGGCCAAUCAAACCGGGAGAUAGCUGGUUCUCCCCGAAAGCUAUUUAGGUAGCGCCUCGUGAAUUCAUCUCCGGGGGUAGAGCACUGUUUCGGCAAGGGGGUCAUCCCGACUUACCAACCCGAUGCAAACUGCGAAUACCGGAGAAUGUUAUCACGGGAGACACACGGCGGGUGCUAACGUCCGUCGUGAAGAGGGAAACAACCCAGACCGCCAGCUAAGGUCCCAAAGUCAUGGUUAAGUGGGAAACGAUGUGGGAAGGCCCAGACAGCCAGGAUGUUGGCUUAGAAGCAGCCAUCAUUUAAAGAAAGCGUAAUAGCUCACUGGUCGAGUCGGCCUGCGCGGAAGAUGUAACGGGGCUAAACCAUGCACCGAAGCUGCGGCAGCGACACUGUGUGUUGUUGGGUAGGGGAGCGUUCUGUAAGCCUGUGAAGGUGUGCUGUGAGGCAUGCUGGAGGUAUCAGAAGUGCGAAUGCUGACAUAAGUAACGAUAAAGCGGGUGAAAAGCCCGCUCGCCGGAAGACCAAGGGUUCCUGUCCAACGUUAAUCGGGGCAGGGUGAGUCGACCCCUAAGGCGAGGCCGAAAGGCGUAGUCGAUGGGAAACAGGUUAAUAUUCCUGUACUUGGUGUUACUGCGAAGGGGGGACGGAGAAGGCUAUGUUGGCCGGGCGACGGUUGUCCCGGUUUAAGCGUGUAGGCUGGUUUUCCAGGCAAAUCCGGAAAAUCAAGGCUGAGGCGUGAUGACGAGGCACUACGGUGCUGAAGCAACAAAUGCCCUGCUUCCAGGAAAAGCCUCUAAGCAUCAGGUAACAUCAAAUCGUACCCCAAACCGACACAGGUGGUCAGGUAGAGAAUACCAAGGCGCUUGAGAGAACUCGGGUGAAGGAACUAGGCAAAAUGGUGCCGUAACUUCGGGAGAAGGCACGCUGAUAUGUAGGUGAAGUCCCUCGCGGAUGGAGCUGAAAUCAGUCGAAGAUACCAGCUGGCUGCAACUGUUUAUUAAAAACACAGCACUGUGCAAACACGAAAGUGGACGUAUACGGUGUGACGCCUGCCCGGUGCCGGAAGGUUAAUUGAUGGGGUCAGCGCAAGCGAAGCUCUUGAUCGAAGCCCCGGUAAACGGCGGCCGUAACUAUAACGGUCCUAAGGUAGCGAAAUUCCUUGUCGGGUAAGUUCCGACCUGCACGAAUGGCGUAAUGAUGGCCAGGCUGUCUCCACCCGAGACUCAGUGAAAUUGAACUCGCUGUGAAGAUGCAGUGUACCCGCGGCAAGACGGAAAGACCCCGUGAACCUUUACUAUAGCUUGACACUGAACAUUGAGCCUUGAUGUGUAGGAUAGGUGGGAGGCUUUGAAGUGUGGACGCCAGUCUGCAUGGAGCCGACCUUGAAAUACCACCCUUUAAUGUUUGAUGUUCUAACGUGGACCCGUGAUCCGGGUUGCGGACAGUGUCUGGUGGGUAGUUUGACUGGGGCGGUCUCCUCCUAAAGAGUAACGGAG
rnacentral:rRNA from 2 species